GGAGGGGGGGCAAGCGUUAUUCGGAAUUAUUGGGCGUAAAGGGCGCGUAGGCGGCCGAUCAAGUGGUAGGGUGAAAUCCCUCGGGCUCAACCGAGGAACUGCCUACCAAACUGACUGGCUUGAGUCCCGGGAGAGGUGAGUGGAAUUCCCAGUGUAGCGGUGAAAUGCGUAGAUAUUGGGAGGAACACCGGUGGCGAAGGCGGCUCACUGGACCGGAACUGACGCUGAGGCGCGAAAGCGUGGGGAGCAAACGGGAUUAGAUACCCCGGUAGUCCACGCCGUAAACGAUGAGUGCUUGGUGUAGCGGGUAUCGACCCCUGCUGUGCCGAAGUUAACGCAUUAAGCACUCCGCCUGGGGAGUACGGUCGCAAAGGCUGA
rnacentral:rRNA from 1 species